rnacentral:rRNA from 1 species
AAUAUUCCGCAAGGGAGGGAACUCUGACGCAGCGACGCCGCGUGAGCGAUGAAGGUCCUCGGAUCGUAAAGCUCUGUCCUUGGGGAAAAAGGUCUUCGGACUUCACGGUACCUAACGAGGAAGCCCCGGCUAACUACGUACCAGCGACCGCGGUAAUACGUACGGGGCAAGCGUUGUCCGGAAUUAUUGGGCGUAUAGGGUGCGUAGGCGGCCUGUUAAAUCAGGUAUGAAAGGCCACGGCUUAACCGUGGGACUGCAUUUGAAACUGGAGGGCUUGACUAUCGGAGAGGGUAGUGGAAUUCACAGUGUAGCGGUGGAAUGCGUAGAUAUUGGGAGGAACACCAGUGGCGAAGGCGACUACCUGGACGAAAACUGACGCUGAGGCACGAAAGCUAGGGGAGCAAACA